AUGCAGGCCAGGAAAAAUGUGCAGAAGACAGUGCGGGAUACGUUGGCAGAGAGGUUAGGUACACCAGGGAAGAAACAUGGCGACCUCCUUGACGUAAUUGUCGAGGAACUGCAGGGUGAAGAGCCAUUAAUAAGUGAGGAUUUUGCUAUUGAUAUGGUCUCGGUGUUGUUGUUCUCCAGCGUCUUCACGCUAUCAGGAACAAUCGCUGUAGCAUUCAAGUCACUCCAUGACAACCCAGACGUUCUCCGGUCCCUGGAGAAGGAGAACCGAACUAUGCUCAAGGAUCGAAAGGGUGGGUGCUCCGGGCUCACCUGGGAGGAGUACAAGUCAUUGACAUUCACUAAUCAGGUGACCAAUGAGAUUAUUCGAAUAAGCAAUGCCGUAGUUGGAGUAUUUAGGAAAACUCUUACAGAUGUACAAGUCAACGGCUAUACAAUUCCAGCCGGAUGGCAGGUCAUAGUCAACCCCAUGGCAGUUCAUUUGAACGAAGAAUUGUUCGAAGAUCCACUCAAAUUUAACCCAUGGAGGUGGAUGGAUGAGUCAAAGCGCAGUGCAAUGCUGAAGAAUUUCUUGCCAUUUGGGGCAGGAAUCAGGGUUUGUCCUGCGGGAGAUUUUGUCAAGCUGUUUGUAACACUUACCCUCCAUAUUUUGGUGACGGAGUAUAGAUGGGAAGAAAUGAAAGGAACUGACGAAUUCCGAAGCUCGGAUGUUAUGUUCCCGCAGGGCUAUCACAUUCGACUUCGACCCAAGGACGAUCAAAUGAACUGA
rnacentral:rRNA from 1 species